rnacentral:tRNA from 1 species
GGUGGCUCAGUGGUAGAGUGCUUGCCUUGCAUGCAAGAGGCCCUGGGUUCCAUUCCUCAGCACCA